CGCUCCGCAGCGGCCGCCGCCUGCCCUCCCCGCCGCCCGGCUGGAACCGCCGUCCCGUCCCGUCCCUUUCUCCUCCCCUUCCCCGAGGCUGCACGAAUCACGCACCUGCCCCGGACACCCCCGGCUCCGGGACCGGCCGCCCCCGCUCCGCCUCCACGGCCUGCGGCACCUGGCAGCGGGGCGAGAGGAGAAGGAAAACGAAAUGCAAAAAAAAAGCCUCAGGAAACACGAAAAGUUCGACGCACGACGCCGGGAGUGGAGGCUGCCUCCUCAGAGAAACGUCCCGCUGGAAGGUCCUGCCCAGGGGCUACCCGCAGGUUCCCAGAUUCACAGGGAUCCUCAGCUUCCCCGUAGUCAGCAUUGCCAGACUGCCUAUUUCCUAGCACAGGAGGAAAAAAUAAAUCCUUCCCCUAAUUCCUUGAUAUGCCUGUGUUACCAGGAUCAUCUCUUUCAGCCAGUGCUGCAUGUGACAAAACUGAAAGAAAAUUAUCAAAGAAACCUCCCAACAGAUCCAGUGUCGUUAACUGGGGCUCUUAGAAGCAAUUAAUUGGAUUCAGCCUUUGGAAGCUACAGAGGUUGUUGCUCCUUCAUCCAUCCAACCCAACAGCUCAAAAAUAUGUGCCAAGGUAAGACAGAAACCAUUACUGGCCAGAUCGCUGAAAGGGAUUCACCAAGGGCUGCUUCUGCUUCACCACUGCAGUUUAAAUGAGCCAGUUGGCAAGAUUUGUUAUUUAAGUGCUUCAAUCUGCUUUGGACUGGAAGGAGUCACCAACCCCCCAGGGCUCAGCAGGGACUCUAUGGUAGGCCUUUUUGCUGAAAGUAUCUAAAACCUGUUAAAGUCUUAGUUUUGUGCUUAAAACCUUUCUUGGCCCUCGCCCUAAGUAACACGUAUAAAGCUUCAAUUCAAGCCCAUCCCAGGGCCAGGAUUCAGGUUUCAUAGGACAAAAGGUGCAUUCACUCCAAGUGAUGAGAAGCCCAAGAGUCAACUCUGCGGUCAGAGGGAUCUACUGUAUUGCCUACAGGCAGAACUGAAGCGUGAUUUCAACUGUUGUGAUGCUACUCCUGAACAAAGCAGCACAAAAAUCACAUCUUCUCACCGUUCCUUCUGUUUGGCCAAGCUGCUGGUAUCAUCUUGGCUGUACACCAGUUCUGCUGGCUCAUGUUACAUCUGAUGACCGAAACAACUGAUCUACUUACAUUUGAGCAUGCUGUUGUUUUACUUACGGCAGCAGCCUGACUUAUGUUAAUGCAUUGCUUUGAUCAAACUGUGGAUCUAAAGUGAGUAAGGAAUACCACAGUACUCGCCCGUGUACAAUUCUGACAUCAUAAUCUUUCAUACAACUGCUGUCUGGAUGUCAGAAUUAUUACAGCCUUGUUGGGUUGUAGGCAAGAGAUUGAGAAACACAGACAGAUAUUAAGACUUCGUUGCUAAAAUUCAUAGUUAUCCAAUGAGACUUAAGGCCUCGAAUAUCCACUUCUCUGCAACUCUGGUCCAGCAUCAGCCACACACAUUACGUGUAAAGAUGGAUGCUGAAAGGCGUUUUUCUUGUGCUCCCCUCCCUGCUACAGACAUUUGAACUUAGUUCUAGUAAUAUUGCUGUAGAUCUGGCAAAUAUGAAAUUAUUGCUAUUAAAUUCUGUCUUAGCUUAUAGUCACCAGCUGUUAUAACUCAUGUUACAUUAUUUAAGAAUACCUCAGAGAUAAUGUUUAAUAUUUCAAUUCCCCACCUCUGGCAGCAGUGCCUUCAUUAAAGGUGUUUUAGGGAAUCUCUCAAGUCCACAUAUAAAUUAAAUGGCCAACACUCUCAGCUGAGAAGGUUGUCAGUUCCUGUUCCAGCAAUUCAGGUAUCUUAUCUUCUCAUUAGAUACUGUUUGUCUGCAGGAAGCAGCAAACCAGAAAUCUCACCAUCUGGACACAAAAUCAGCACAAGCGUCAUAACUGCAGACUAAAACAGUGAUAGCAAUGGGGGGAUUGAUAGCCAUUUAACCAAAAUGAUGACUAAUUAUGGUGAAACACAAUCUCAUCAUUCAUUCUUAAAUGUUAAGAGAGCACUUCGCCAAAUUUGCUGGCUAUGUUCAGUGGCUUGUUACAUAUGGACACCAAAUGUGCAGGACGCUCCUCAGUUGAAAUGAAUCCUCUGUCUUUUCAGACUAAUCCUUUGUGAUGUGCAAGGCAAUCAGUCAACAACUGAAUAUCCUUACAAACAUCAGUAAUAAAAAUAAGUGAACCAGAAACCCUCGCAUGUGAUGGUUGAAAGCACUUUGGGAUUUUGAGAGCUGACUGAUCUGCUGUAUACAUAGAUUCUAAUAUGCCAGAGGGUUGUGUUGCCAUCCAGAGGGACCUGCCCAAGCUGGAGAACUGAGCCAACAACCUAAUGAAUUUCUACAAGCGCAAAGUCCUGCACCUGGGAAGGAGCAGCCCCAGGCACCAGGACGUGCUGGAGACCACCCAUCCGGAAAGCAGCCUGGCAGAAAAAGACCUGGGAGUCCUGGUGGACACCAAGUUGAAAAUGAGCGAACAACAUGCCCUUGCCACAAAGACGGUGAAUAGACUUCUGGGCUGCAUUAGGCAAAGUGUUACCCGCAGGUGGAGGAAGGUGAUCCUUUCCCUCUGCUCAGCACUGGUGAGGCCACACCUGGAGUUCUGUGUCCUGGGCCCCCAAGUACAAGGGAGACCUGGACAUACUGGGCAGCGUCCAACAUAAGGCCACAAGGAUGAUGGAGGGACCAGAGCAUCUCUCCUGUGAGGAGAGGCUGACCGAGCUGGGCCUGCUCGGCCUGGAGAAGAGGAGGCUCAGGGGAAUCUCACCAAUGCCUACAAACCCCUGAAGGCAGGGUGCACGGAGGACGGAGCCAGGCUCUGCUCAGCGGUGCCCAGGGCCAGGCCCAGAGGCAGUGGGCACAAACCAGAGCACAGGAGGCUCCCUCUGAGCACCAGGAGGCACUUCUGUGCUGUGCGGGUGCCGGAGCCCUGGCCCAGGUUGCCCACAGAGGCUGUGGAGUCUCCUCCUUGGAGAUCUCCCAAACCCACCUGGACACAGGCCUGGGCCCCCUGCUCGGGGUGGCCCUGCUGGGGCAGGGGGCAGCAGAUGGACCCUGAGGCUCCUUCCAACCUCAGCCACGCUGUGAUUCUAUCCAAAGCUCCUCUGGAUUUUUCACUUCAGCAAGUAAUCUGUGACACAACCAGAACAAAUCUCCAGUAGCUAAAAAUAAACGGUUCCUCUGCA